rnacentral:lncRNA from 1 species
ACAGGGUUUACUGAUGGAUUGAAUGUGGGGUAUGAGAGGUAGGAGUCAAGGAUGACUCUAAGGGUACAUUUGCCGUUAAUUGGGAUGAGGGAGUAUGCAGGAGGAGAUAUGAGGAAAGUCAGGCUUAAAGAUGUUAAAUGAUUCACCCAAGGUCACACUGGUAAUUCAGAGAGAAAUGGAAUUAAUUGACCUGUUAGGAAACUCAGAGAUCUGCUGGUGUUUCUUAUUUUACAGAUGAAAAAUUUGGAGUCUAGUGAAAAGAAGUGACUUGUUCAAAGUCACACAGCACAUGAAGAACAGAGCCUCUAUGAUGAAUUUCUUGACAGCUGAUAUAAGUCUUUUGAGGUACAGCCUGGCACAAAAAGGAUGAGAUUUGUGGGCAGAAUUUUGGAAGAAUAUCUCCCGAGAGAACAUUCAGGACAGAGCCCUACAUCUCCCCGAGAAGAGGUGAAAGAGACUGCUCCUAUCUGCUCCUGCAUCAAACUUCAGGCUCAAGACCUGUCCAGAAAAAAAAAUGUCUUCUUUCAGGGAUGA